GAUGAACGCUGGCGGCGUGCUUAACACAUGCAAGUCGAACGGCAACACCCUGCUUUCGUGGGGUGCCCGAGUGGCAAAGGGGUACGUAACAGGUAAGCAUCCUGACCUUGACUUUCGGAUAACUUCAGGAAACUGGGGCUAAUACCAGAUCGGAGCUCCUGCCGCAUGGUGGGGGUUGGAAAGUCUCGGCGGUUGGGGAUGGACUCGCGGCUUAUCAGCUUGUUGGUGGGCGGGUGGCUGACCACGGGUUUGGCGGGUAGGCGGCCUGAGUGGGUGACCGGGCACCAGGCGACUGAGAUACGGCACAGAGUCCUACGGGAGGCAGAAGUGGGGAAGAUUGCCCAAUGGGCGGAAGCCGGAUGCAGCAACGCCGCGGUCGGGAUGACGGCCUGCGGGUUGUAAACCGCAUUCGGCUGUGACGAAGCGUGAGUGACGGUAAUGGGUGAAGAAGCACCGGCUAACUACGUG
rnacentral:rRNA from 1 species